GUCCACGCCCUAAACGAUGUUUACUCGUUGUUUGGACUUCGGUUCGAGCGACUAAGCGAAAGCGUUAAGUAAACCACCUGGGGAGUACGCCCGCAAGGGUGAAACUCAAAGGAAUUGACGGGGUCCGCACAAGCGGUGGAGCAUGUGGUUUAAUUCGAUGAUACGCGAGGAACCUUACCCGGGCUAGAAUGUGCGUGACGGAUCAGGAAAAUGGGUCUUUCCUAGCAAAUAGGACACAAAAACAAGGUGCUGCAUGGCUGUCGU
rnacentral:rRNA from 1 species